GUGUGUGUGCUCGUGUGUGUAUGUGUGUCACAAGCAGAGCCUGUCCCCCGUCCACAGAGCCACUGAGUUCAUGCUCUGCCUGGGGCUCACCAGCAUUAUUACUGGGAUCAUCUUUUGCACGAUCUGUGACCAGAAGAGGAUCGGCUGCCUCAGCUUCCACCAGGGUGUGUGCCUGAGAACACCAAGAGCUGCCUCGUUCCUCCUCUCACUGGUGAAAAAGCAACAGAGGCUGAUGAAGAUUACAGGCUGGACCAGCUACUCAGGGGGAUCUGCCACACCAUGAUGGUGCAGAUAUUGUCCUCAUGACGGGACUGCUUGGUCUUCCUGUUGACCCUGCGGUGGCCCAGACCUCCGGAUACCACCAGCAGCGAGCUGACGUCCACCUUGCUGGCCCGGCGGACCCUCUGGUGGUGGGCUGGGUCAUGGAGCAAGUCGUAAAGGGCUCCGUCCUCGGGCCCGUGUUCCAGGGAGCCCUGGGACGGAGCCAGGGAGCCGCAGGACGAGGAGGACAGGGAGUCCUGAAGAGCCAUGGUGGUGCAGCCCGCCUCUCCCAGCCACACGCCUCGCCCCUGAGGGGGAGCCGGGGCUGAGUCCGGCGGGGGCGGCUGUGUCUUCUCCCCGUCCUCUGCCUCCGCUGGCUGGGCUGCAGCAGGAGGGUUGGUGGCUGGGAGGCCGGAGGGCCGGUUGCACACAGCAGCAGCCAUGUUGGAUAUUUGACACGCUGGUGUGUAGUUACCUGUGACUUUGGGGAUGCCCUGCAGUCUGGGGACAGAGAGGGCCACAGUCACCCCGAGGUUGGUUCCUACCAGGAGCAGACCAUAGCACACCAGCAGACUGCUC